rnacentral:rRNA from 1 species
GUAGGGGGCGAGCGUUAUCCGGAUUUACUGGGCGUAAAGCGCGUGCAGGCGGCUUGGUAGGUUGGACGUGAAAGCUCUUGGCUCAACUGAGAGAGGUCGUUCAAUACCGCCAAGCUUGAGGACGGAAGAGGGGAGCGGAAUUCCCGGUGUAGUGGUGGAAUGCGUAGAUAUCGGGAGGAACACCCGUGGCGAAGGCGGCUCCCUGGUCCGCACCUGACGCUGAGACGCGAAAGCGUGGGUAGCAAACGGGAUUAGAUACCCCGGGUAGUCCACGCCGUAAACGAUGGAUGCUAGGUGUAGGUGGUAUUGACCCCCCAUCUGUGCCGUAGCUAACGCGUUAAGCAUCCCGCCUGGGGACUACGGCCGCAAGGUUA